CGUGCUUAACACAUGCAAGUCGAACGAUGAAGACCGUGCUUGCACGGUUGGAUUAGUGGCGAACGGGUGAGUAUCACGUGAGUAACCUUCCCUUAACUCUGGGAUAAGCCCGGGAAACUGGGUCUAAUACCGGAUACGACCAGUCCUCGCAUGGGGUGCUGGUGGAAAGAUUUAUCGGUUUUGGAUGGACUCGCGGCCUAUCAGCUUGUUGGUGAGGUAAAGGCUCACCAAGGCGAUGACGGGUAGCCGGCCUGAGAGGGUGACCGGCCACACUGGGACUGAGACACGGCCCAGACUCCUACGGGAGGCAGCAGUGGGGAAUAUUGCACAAUGGGCGAAAGCCUGAUGCAGCGACGCCGCGUGCGGGAUGACGGCCUUCGGGUUGUAAACCGCUUUCAGCAGGGAAGAAGCGCAAGUGACGG
rnacentral:rRNA from 1 species